UACGUAGGGUGCAAGCGUUGUCCGGAAUUAUUGGGCGUAAAGAGCUCGUAGGCGGCCUGUCGCGUCGGCUGUGAAAACUCAGGGCUCAACCCUGAGCCCGCAGUCGACACGGGCAGGCUGGAGUCCGGCAGGGGAGACUGGAAUUCCUGGUGUAGCGGUGAAAUGCGCAGAUAUCAGGAGGAACACCGGUGGCGAAGGCGGGUCUCUGGGCCGAUACUGACGCUGAGGAGCGAAAGCGUGGGGAGCGAACAGG
rnacentral:rRNA from 1 species